AUGAUUGGGGCAUCAUUUUAUUAUAAAAGCUAUAUGCGUGGGGAAGGGGUGCGUCCCCGUGUGCGAGGUGGGGGGGGAGCAACUCACCAAGAGGGGGAGGGGUAGCGGGCGGGGAGGGUGGUCGCCCACAAGGGGAGUGAGCCCCGGUCUUUAUUCCUGGGGAGGCAGCAGUGGGGAAUAUUGGACAAUGGGCCGAGAGUCUGAUCCAGCAAUUCUGUGUGCACGAUGAAGUUUUUUGGAAUGUAAAGUGCUUUCAGUUGGGAAGAAAGAAAUGACGGGUACCAACAGAAGAAGUGACGGCUAAAUACGUGCCAGCAGCCGCGGUAAUACGUAUGUCACGAGCGUUAUCCGGAUUUAUUGGGCGUAAAGCGCGUCUAGGUGGUUAUAUAAGUCUGAUGUGAAAAUGCAGGGCUCAACUCUGUAUUGCGUUGGAAACUGUAUAACUAGAGUACUGGAGAGGUAAGCGGAACUACAAGUGUAGAGGUGAAAUUCGUAAAUAUUUGUAGGAAUGCCGAUGGGGAAGCCAGCUUACUGGACAGAUACUGACGCUGAAGCGCGAAAGCGUGGGUAGCAAACAGG
rnacentral:rRNA from 1 species